rnacentral:rRNA from 1 species
UACGGGGGGUGCGAGCGUUGUCCGGAAUCACUGGGCGUAAAGGGCGUGUAGGCGGGAGAGAAAGUCGGGCGUGAAAUCCCUAGGCUCAACCUAGGAACUGCACUCGAAACUUCUUUUCUUGAGUACCGGAGAGGAAAGCGGAAUACCUGGUGUAGAGGUGAAAUUCGUAGAUAUCAGGUGGAACACCAGUGGCGAAGGCGGCUCACUGGACUGGUAUUGACGCUGAGGUGCGAAAGCGUGGGGAGCAAACAGG